rnacentral:rRNA from 1 species
CCUACGGGUGGCAGCAGUAGGGAAUCUUUCACAAUGGGCGAAAGCCUGAUGGAGCAACGCCGCGUGCAGGAUGAAGGCCUUCGGGUUGUAAACUGCUUUUAUAAGCGAGAAAUAUGAUGGUAACUUAUGAAUAAGGAUCGGCUAACUACGUGCCAGCAGCCGCGGUCAUACGUAGGAUCCGAGCAUUAUCCGGAGUGACUGGGUGUAAAGAGUUGCGUAGGUGGCAUAAUAAGUAGCUAGUGAAAUCUGGUGGCUCAACCAUUCAGACUAUUAGCUAAACUGUUAAGCUCGAGACCGUUAGGGGUAACUGGAAUUGCUAGUGUAGGAGUGAAAUGCGGAGAUAUUAGGAAGAACACCGAUAGCGUAGGCAGGUUAACGGGACGGUUCUGACACUAAGGCACGAAAGCGUAGGGAGCAAACGGGAUUAGAUACCCCUGUAGUC